rnacentral:rRNA from 1 species
GGGAACUACCUGCUGAACUUAAGCCAUAUCAAUAAGCAAAAGAAAA